CAGUCGCCGCGGUAAUACGAAGGGGGCUAGCGUUGUUCGGAAUUACUGGGCGUAAAGGGCGCGUAGGCGGCGGCCAAAGUCAGGCGUGAAAUUCCCGGGCUCAACCUGGGGGCUGCGUUUGAUACUUGGUUGCUUGAGUGGGGAAGAGGGUCGUGGAAUUCCCAGUGUAGAGGUGAAAUUCGUAGAUAUUGGGAAGAACACCGGUGGCGAAGGCGGCGACCUGGUCCUUUACUGACGCUGAGGCGCGAAAGUGUGGGGAGCAAACAGGAUUAGAUACCCCCGUAGUCCCUGUCUCUUAUAC
rnacentral:rRNA from 1 species